rnacentral:rRNA from 1 species
CCUACGGGAGGCAGCAGUGAGGAAUAUUGGUCAAUGGGCGCGAGCCUGAACCAGCCAAGUAGCGUGAAGGAUGACUGCCCUACGGGUUGUAAACUUCUUUUAUAAAGGAGUAAAUUAAGGCACGUGUGCCUUUUUGUAUGUACUUUAUGAAUAAAGAUCGGCUAACUCCGUGCCAGCGGCCGCGGUAAUACGGAGGAUCCGAGCGUUAUGCGGAUUUAUUGGGUUUAAAGGGAGCGUAGAUGGGUUGGUAAGUCAGAUGUGAAAGUUCGCGGCUCAACCGUAAAAUUGCAAUUGAUACUGGCAGCCUUGAGUACAGUUGAGGUAGGCGGAAUUCGUGGUGUAGCGGUGAAAUGCUUAGAUAUCACGAAGAACUCCGAUUGCGAAGGCAGCUUACUAAACUGCAACUGACAUUGAUGCUCGAAAGUGUGGGUAUCAAACAGGAUUAGAUACCCUAGUAGUC